rnacentral:misc_RNA from 1 species
AAGUCGUAACAAGGUCUCCGUAGGUGAACCUGCGGAGGGAUCAUUAACACUUUUUCUGAGAGAGUGAGAUCGAUCUUACGGUCGAUUUCACUUCUUUCUUAUCCACUCGUGAACUUAACUUAUGCCCCUUUUUUUUUUAUUGUUUUCUAAAACCAUUUUCCAACUGCUAACUGCUAUAUAACAAUACAUGUUAUCUCCUGUCUUUUUUGACAGUGUUAUAAUAUGUCAAUAUAGUUAUAAUCAACAGCACAACUCUUAGCAACGGAUAUCUCGGUUCUCGUAACGAUGAAAAACGCAGC